UGCAUAUCUAGCCCGUGCAGAUUUCCUGAAGCAUUCUCUAUUUUUGGUUUUGUUUUGGGGAUUUUUUUCUUUUCGUUUGCUUGCUGUGUGUGUGUGUGUGUGUGUGUGUGUGUGUGUGUGUGUGUGUGUGUGUGUGUGUGUUUCAUUUGGAUUUGGCUCGGUUUGCUCCGUUGCUGAGAAUGACCUUGGACUCCUGAUCCUCCUGCCUUCGCUAACCCAGCGCUGGAGCUACUGGCUGUACCACCAGGCGGGGGCUGCCUUUGUGUUUAUUCGGUGCUAUUUUAUGUGCUACUUUGCCGGUUGUAUAUGUGUGUGCACCUAGAACACUCAGGCCAAAGGCUGGCAUCAGAUCCCCUGGAACUGGAAUUACAGUCAUGAGCCUCUGUGUGUAUGCUAGGCAUCAAAUUCAGGACCUCUGGAAGAGCAGCCAGUAUCUUAACAGUUGAGCCAUCCCUCCUGCCUCCCAGCCGCCUUUUUUGAUUUUUUUUUUUUUAAUUGGUGUUGUUUGGGACAAAGUAUCACCCCACUGUAACCCAGGCUGGCUUCAAGCCUACAGUAAUUAUCCUGCCUCAGCCUUCCUAGUGUUGGCUUUAUGGAUGCUACCACACCCAGUCCUAAUUCUCUGUUUUCUUCUUUGAAACCCUAAGAGCCGGAGGCUUCCAAACUUCCUGCCGGGACCAGCUUCCAGCCACGCCCACAGAACUUCCCUACCCGCUCGGCUCCUCCAGAUGGAACUCGCUGCCCUGCUGUCUUGGGAGCUGCUGAUGUUUCUCAUGAAUAGCCCAAAAAAUGCAGUCUUGGUGAGAGUCAGUUGUGGGAUAUAGAGGAAGAGUGAGCCUGAGCCGUGAGGACCGCGUUCCUGAGCCGGGAGGACCGCGUUCCUGAUGCGCUUUACACAACUGCAGAGUAAACAGCCCCUAGUGUGGAGGGGCUCUGCACAGAUCUGUCAAACUAGAUGGCUGGCUAAGUGAAUUGAUCCCGUGUAACGAGCUGCAGCCCACAGGUACCAGAAGUCCUCCAUGGCUCCCUGAAGACGCAGGUAAUCCUCACUCUGAGAAGCCAUAGGUGAACUGGGGUGGUGGCUACCUUCUUUUCACCACGUCUGUGCCCCGUCUGUUGGGCUGUGUUUCUGGGCUCUGAGAAUCUCCUGCCCACUCUACUUACCCCCUCGAGAAGCCCGUGGAAGUGUGCGCUGGCCAAUUUUCUGUCAGAUUGACACUAGCUAGACUCAUAUGAAAGGAGGAAACCUCAGUUGAUAAAAUGUCUCCAUAAGAUCCAACUCUAAGGCAUUUUUAAAAUUUGAGACUGAUGUGGGAGGGGCCAGCCAUUGUGGGUGGGGCCAGUCCAUUGUGGGUGGAGCCAUCCCUGGACUGGUGGACCUAGGUUUUAUAAGAAAGCAGGCUGAGCAAGCCAUGGGAGCAAGCCAGUAAGCAGCACCCCUCCAUGGCCUCUGUAUCAGCUCCUGCCUCUAGGUUCCUGCCGUGCUUGAGUUCCUGCCCUGACCUCCUUCAGUGAUGGGCUAUGAAGUGGCAGGGUGAGCCGAAUUAACCCUUUCCUCUCCAACCGAUGUUAAUGACAUCAAUAGUGAUGGACAUGGACAAAGCGAUCACCUUGUUCUCACUCCCACUUUCUUAUAGCUGCAGCUGCGAUGGGGGCUCGACUGGGAUCUUCACUGAAGGUUGACACAUUUCUUUAGUCAUACUGCACAAUUCGGGUCACCUCUUCUGAGGAUGCUUAGAAUAUGACUUACACAGGUAGCGCAGGUAGAAGCAGACAGACUCACGCACGGGGCUGCCUCCUCCAGGAAGCCAUGUCUGGAAGGACUUCCACUAAACUCUUCUAAGAUGGUUUUUCCGUGUCAGCACCCUCUGUGGGAAUUCCCAGGACAGUGAACUCCCUGAAGGUAUCAGCUAGGGCAGAGUUAUCAUGGUCUACCCUGUGCCAAAUAUAGUAUGUGCUCAAUAAAUACUUGUUGAAUUGAGUUGACUACUAAGUGAGGAUCACCGUAAUAAAUGGAUGUAGGAGCUUAUCUCUCUUCCUUUCUUGGUCAUGAGAGGUUCAGGGGUGCUGGGCAGGCCCGAGUUACAGUUUUGCUCUGCCUCUUCCUGGCUGUAUAUAACCUCUCUCAGCGUCUGUUUUCGCUUUUGUGGAAACACACAGGCAGUCUGAGGGAGAGUUGGAGCUCAACGACUGGCACACAGUAGGUCUCAGCAGCAUUACAAGGAGAAGAUUCAGGCCCUUAAGUCAAUCUCUGGGGGGUUUAAAGCUCUAUUUCAGUAUUGAUGGCCAUUGGGUGGCCUCAGACAAAUGGUGAUUUCUAGACCUUAUGUCUCAGACGCCUUACUCAGGGCAGAUAAAAGCAUAGAUCCCUGGGUUGUGGUGGAAACGAAAGAGGCAUCUGAGUAGUUAAAGCCCCUGUGAACAUGGCCUCGGUGACCCCAAAUGAGCUACUAGAAAACAAGGGUGUGUUCUUCUCUUUCCACCCCCUUCUUAAGACCACACUCGGUCUCUCCCUCUCUCUCUCUCUCUCUCUCUCUCUCUCUCUCUCUCUCUCUCUCUCUCACACACACACACACACACACACACACACACACACACACACACAGUAGGGACACAGAUUUUUGGAAAGCACUGACUCUCCCAAUGUAUGCCCUGAAUAUUCACCUUACCCCGAGGUUUUCCUCAGGGGCUUUCUGUGUUUUUCCAGCCUAGGUGGAUACAAUGCUCUGCAGUGGCCUUUUGUGCCGACCGUGAUGGAGACUGGUCAUUUUCCAGCAGAGCUCCUCUGAUUGGAUGGCAGCUGAGGCGUGGGGAGGACCUGGAAGAGAGUAGAGAGCCUCCAAAAGUGACUCCAGGGGACCCAGUUACUUAUACAGGAAAGUGGGAUUCGACCUAUCAGCAUGAUCCCUGUCAUGUGACUGUGCCCGAGUCCCCGCUGGUACCAGCGAGGCGAAGCUCAACCAUCCUCCCUGCAGCCCGGCUGUGCUUCGGGACUCGGCAGGGGUUUCCCUGGUCUGAGGAUGUGCUGCACACUGGUGUGGGAGCACUUUCCCCAGUGACUACAAGUGCCUUGCUGGUUCAUACCUCCAGUCCCGAUGCCUCCAGAGCAGAAGCCCUGUGUUCGCCCCCUCUUUACACUCAAGGAAACUGAGGCUCCCAAGGACAUCAAAUUCAUCACCUAAGGACAAGAGAGUGGGGCAGCUCUGUCCCGGUCCAGGGUCUGUGUCCAGAAAGGAAUACAUAGUACACCCUAGGGUUGGAAGACCAGUUGUCCUCCAGGAGGAGGGGAGUCAGUGCCAGCAGCAUAGGGGUCUGGGGUAGCAUUGCCAGUUUACAGAGAGGAAAGCAGAAGAGAGUUGUGUCACCAAACAUCCCUGUAAGCCAUGCCUACCGACCUCCAGGCCUUGCCUGUGGGACUCUAGGUCAACCUCCCCAACCAACCCACGAUCUCAGCUCAGUGCCCUGCAGAUCAUGCCUCACUUUGAUCUGCAGAGGUUGUGGGCUGGAGCUGCAGGUCUGCUGUGAGAUCCUCAGGGCCAUCUCUAUUCUCCCACACAUUGACAUCACAGGAGAGUUACACACACACACAUACAUACCACAUACACCAUAUACACAUACCACACACACACACACACCACACACACACACACACACACACACAUACACACCACACCAUACCACACACCACACACCACACAUCACACACACACAUAUACAUACCACACACCACACCAUACACCACAAACCACACACAUCACACACACACAUACACACAUACACACACCACACACACAUACACACAUCACACAACACACACUCACAUACCACACCACACAUCACACAACACACACACAUACCACACCACAAACCACACACACCACAUACACCACACACACCUCACACACUACACACAUAACACACACCACACACACACCACACACCACAAACCACACACAUAUACCAUACACACCAUACACACACCACAUAUACCACAUACACACCACACACACACAUAGACACACAUACCACACACACACAUACCACACACACACAUACCACACAUACCACACACACUACACACAUACACCACACAUACCACACACACACCACAUGCACCACAUAUACACACACACACCACACACAUACCACAUACACAUACACACCACACAUACCACACAUACAUACCAAACACACAUCACACACAUACACAGACAUAUACACACAUAUACAUACACCGGCAACACAGGAGGGUUCCACACACCCCCAACCUCACCCAUACCCCACCCCUCACCCCUACUUCCCCGGCACACCACAGGCAUCACAGGAGGGUUCCACCUGGUCCACACAGACUUUCUGCCACCACACUGCAGCAACAUCCCCUUCUGCUGUCACAAUGUCUAAUCCUCUUUUGGUCUGGCUACGUAGCCCAGGCUGACCUGAAACUCAAAGAGAUUUUCCUUACUCUGCCCUCUACCCCCAAAAGCUGGGAUUAAAGUAUGGACACAAUGUGCAACUCUUCUUACGAACAAGACAGGGUGAUGGCACUACAUUGUAUUCACAGAACACCUGAGUGGAUGAGAGGUGGGAUGUGCCCCUGACCACGCUACUUCUAUGUCCCUGUCAGGCCUGUGGAACUUCCAAGCUCCAUGCUCUCUUUCCAAGGCCAUGCGCCAUUUCCUUAGCCCUCCCUGCAAUGGCUGAUUCUGAAAGGAAGUGGGCACAUGUCCUGCCCUUCCUGCUGGCCGCCAUCCCUCUUGCCCAUACAGCCCCUUCCUGUGUUAGCCUGGGGAAUCUCUGGAGAACAUCUCUGGUGGACAGGCAGGCAGUGAGGGGCAGCCUGGCACUGGUGCAACCCCUCACAGUGACACAAAGUUUCCAAACCAUGUGUAAGAGGCCAGAAGGGAACCCAGAAAUAGUGAGAUAAAAGAGUGGGGGUUGUGUGUAGGGAAGAAUGUUCUGGGUGGAGGGAGAAGCUUGUGCUCCCAUUCCCACAGACUCUAAGCAAACCAGUGUGACAGUGGCUUGGACAGGUGAUGAGAGGGGCCCAGCCAUGAUGAGUGCUGCAGGUCAUUAUCAGGAAACUGAAACUGAGCAUGGGGGCCCUAGAGCACGGAGGGGCUUGAAACUCCACGGGGCAGUGUCAGCUUGUCCCCAGACCCUGUGUCUAAACUUCACAAGAAGUAAACUACGGUUCAGUUCCUCA